UACGAAGGGAGCUAGCGUUGUUCGGAAUCACUGGGCGUAAAGCGCACGUAGGCGGACUUGUCAGUCAGGGGUGAAAUCCCGGGGCUCAACCUCGGAACUGCCUCUGAUACAGCAAGUCUUGAGUCCGGAAGAGGUGGGUGGAAUUCCUAGUGUAGAGGUGAAAUUCGUAGAUAUUAGGAAGAACACCGGUGGCGAAGGCAAUCCCCUGGGCCUGCACUGACGCUCAUGCACGAAAGCGUGGGGAGCAAACAGG
rnacentral:rRNA from 1 species